rnacentral:rRNA from 1 species
CCCUACGGGGCGCAGCAGUGAGGAAUAUUGGUCAAUGGUCGGGAGACUGAACCAGCCAAGCCGCGUGAGGGAUGAAGGUACAGAGUAUCGUAAACCUCUUUUGUCAGGGAACAAAGGCGGGGACGCGUCCCCGGAUGAGUGUACCUGAAGAAAAAGCAUCGGCUAACUCCGUGCCAGCAGCCGCGGUAAUACGGAGGAUGCGAGCGUUAUCCGGAUUUAUUGGGUUUAAAGGGUGCGCAGGCGGUCUGUUAAGUCAGCGGUCAAAGUCCGGGGCCCAACCCCUGCCCGCCGUUGAAACUGGCAGU